UACGUAGGAAGCAAGCGUUAUCCGGAUUUACUGGGCGUAAAGUGGGCGUAGGCGGCUCGCCAAGUCGGAUGUGAAAUCUCUUGGCUUAACCGGGAGGGGUCAUCCGAUACUAGCGGGCUAGAGUACAGCAGGGGGAGGUGGAAUUCCCGGUGUAGUGGUGAAAUGCGUAGAUAUCGGGAGGAACACCAGUGGCGAAGGCGGCCUCCCAGGCUGUUUCUGACGCUGAGGCCCGAAAGUGUGGGGAG
rnacentral:rRNA from 1 species